UACCAGCACCCCGAGUGGUCGGGACGAUUAUUGGGCCUAAAGCAUCCGUAGCCGGUUUUACAAGUCCCCCGUUAAAUCCAACUGCUUAACAGAUGGGCUGCGGAGGAUACUAUAAGACUAGGAGGCAGGAGAGGCAAGCGGUACUCAGUGGGUAGCGGUGAAAUGCGCAGAUAUCCGGAGGAACACCGGUGGCGAAGGCGGCUUCCUGGACCGACACUGACGCUGAGGCGCGAAAGCUAGGGGAGCAAACGGG
rnacentral:rRNA from 1 species